UGUAUUUCCAUUUCCAUGGGGGAGGAAGAAUCUCCCAGGAUAAUGUAGGUAGGGAUAGGGGAAGCCUGUUUCUGACAAUGAAUAUCACUGUGUAUAGUAUAUUCUUAUAGAAGAAAGCUCUGGUCAUCCAUAUGUUUCAGAACGAGCAUCUAAAAUUAAGUAAAAUGAUGGGAAGAGAAAGUAAGAUAGCUGGAAGGUCUGCUCGAUAACGAAGUCGCCAUCUAUGAUCAGCGAUGGUCUCCUCCCCCAUUAAGACCCAG
rnacentral:misc_RNA from 1 species